CCUACGGGUGGCAGCAGUGGGGAAUAUUGGGCAAUGGACGCAAGUCUGACGCAGCAACGCCGCGUGAAGGAAGAAGGCCUUCGGGUCGUAAACUUCUUUUAAGGGGGAAGAGGAGAAGACGGUACCCCUUGAAUAAGCCACGGCUAACUACGUGCCAGCAGCCGCGGUAAUACGUAGGUGGCAAUCGUUGUCCGGAUUUACUGGGGGUCAAGGGCGUGCAGGCGGGCCGACAAGUCAGAUGUGAAAUCCGCGGGCUUAACCCGCGAACUGCAUUUGAAACUAUAGGUCUUGAGUGCAGGAGAGGUAAGCGGAAUUCCUUGUGUAGCGGUGAAAUGCGUAGAUAUAAGGAAGAACACCAGUGGCGAAGGCGGAUUACUGGACGGUAACUGACGGUGAGGCGCGAAAGCGUGGGGAGCAAACAGGAUUAGAUACCCGAGUAGUC
rnacentral:rRNA from 1 species